CCGGAUAUGCUUCCGCUGGUACCCGGGCGUGACAGUUCUAGCAACAGACAUUGAAGACUAAUGAUCAACUCUGAGCUCAAAGAAAAUCAGUUAGAGCUUAGAUAAGGGAAGGAAGAGACGUAGCUAAAAUCUGAGACAAGGUUAUUGGACUAUAUUCGGCUGAGGAUUGAAGGCUUUUGGAGCUAAAUUUUGGUACAUUAACCUGAUCUAAACCGGGGGAUCGACUAUCGUAGGGUACAAGGUCUUUCGGAGAAUUAUGAAGAUCCAUACCCAUAGGUUGAACGUGAAUCAUCGGUUAAUAGGUGGGUUUGACCUCACCAGAGUAAGUGAAUUCCCCUAUGUUCUAUAUGAUACUAUAGGACUAUUAAUUAUAUGCAAUUGAAUUACUUUGGCGGUUUUAUUUGAAGGCAUUGACAAUCAACUCAACUUGAUAUUUAACAGUGAGUGAUUUUGUUAUGUUUUAAUAAAGUAGAGAACAAAUUAUUCGAUUGUGACCUGACCAGUGUUGUAUUAUUAAAAGACAAGUUUACCUUGCGAAUAACACAUGUAAAUUAGCAUCUUUAUUAUGUGGUUAUUGAUCUAGUGGAUACUAGCAUUUCUUAUUGUACAGAGAAUCCGACCUAUUGGCCGAGAGUAAAAAACUUACAUACUUGAUAUAUGAUGAUUGAAGCGGUUGGACUAUGAUUU